GAAAAAGGGAAGAAUCAUUAAGAAACUAUAAAUCUGAAGGAAAUCAAUAUGAUAGUCUAAGAUCUUGAAAUAGCAUAGCAUGUAUUUUUAUUUAGUAUUGCAGGCAGGUUGAUUAGUACCUGAGGGAGAUUCUCAGAAUCACAAAAUUGCACGGGCUGGAAGGGACCGCUGGAGAUCAUCUACAAGCCAGCACAAUGCAUCUAACCCAAUACAGACUAAAAGAUUCCACAGAAACAAGGAACUAUAGGGUACUGGAGCAGAAAUGCUAAGUCACAGCUUGAACCAGUGAUUGAGCACCUGGUGGGAAGGCAGGGCCAACCCAGGGGAGCUCAGGUGCAUGCAAUGAGGAUCCGCCCGAUCCUGGCUCCACCCCUUCCCAGACCUCAUUUAAGGACUGGCAGUAGGGGCAAGAGCAUCUCACUGGAGAUCCCUGUGUAGUAGAGGCCUUCUAAAGAAUAGAUGCCCCAGGAGAACAGAAGAUUGAGCAUGCUGCCCUUUGGCCAUUGGCACUAAUUUGCCAAUUCAGUAGAGAUGACAAAAGAUGAAGUGGGGAGUCCAUGCCCAUCUCAGGUAAAAGAAUUGCCUGUUUCAAGAAAACUGGGAAACACUGAUAGGACAAAAUAAAUGGGAGAAGAACAAGACUCCUAUGUCAUCUUGUGGACUUCAGACACAGCGACAGAUCAAACGUAGUUAUGGUGAGAAAACAUUGAUAUUCUGCCUUCUCCUUGAGCAUAAAGCAGACAACAAACACCUCACUUUAACCUGUAAAUGCUAGGAGGGCUUUGUAUGGACGCUCUAGGUUUGUCGGAAUUUUCUUCCUUCUAAAACGAAUCUCAGAGUCACUGUAGACUAAGAAAAAGAGCAGAUUAAUCGAAUCGGCCUCCCGAACCACCCAGAUUGUACUUCACAAAGGAUUUUGUGUGUUCUUAGCAAGGUCAAUUGACUAAGUAGUCAUCUGUGAGUGUGGAUUCUUGUCUCUUUCUAACCUUCUCUCAAAUUAGGAGAUAUCUGGGCUUGGUGCUCUAUUUUGCCAGUUGCUCUGGCUUCAAAUUUUGAAUUUUUUUAAAAAAUUACACAGUUGAGUCUAAUGCUCAAUUUCAGUGGUUUCCAGGGGAUUAUUUGUAGUGCCUAUUCUGCUAUACAGAGAAAUCUUUCUUUAAAAACACGAUCCAUCUUUCUAGUAGUACUUCAUUUAGAAAUUCAGAGUGGGCAGAUAGCCCUGAGAUAUGGAUAUCCUCUUCUUUUGCCUUCUAUCUGAAAAAGGGGGAAAAAAAAAUCUAGUAUUUUUUUCAGUAUUGCUGAUGUCCCAGACACGUCUGAGUAACUGUCAUGUACAAUCAGUAUCUAUCCAUGGGAAUCUCAUAGAACCAGGGUGGUUUUAAUGUUCACCAGAAUAUUUCUGUGAGAGUUCCUAGGAUGCCAGGGAAAGCACUGACUGACCACAGAAAACAGAUAUGAGACAAGUGCAUGACGACUUUUUUUUUUUUUUUUAAGGAAAAAAGUAUUAAGGAUCCAACUGAGAACUACACUGACACAACUAUAUUUACUUUUGGUCACUGUUAAGUCUGUGUUUUCCAGCCUGUUAACUCCACGAGAAUAAGACAUAGCUGCAGUAUGGAGCUGAGUCAGUUUGGAUUCAGCAUUUAAAGAAAGAAUGGAAGAGAAGCAACCAGGUGUCAAAAGAUGUAAGUAGGUUAGAUCACAAUGAGGAGAUAGCCUUCCCAUCUGCUGGGAACUCCUUUGCAAGGUAAGACUGUUAGAUGUACAAGUCCCUGGCUGGGACUGGUGAAGAGGAUGUAAGCAUGGAAACUAACAGAGCUCUACUAUGAUCAAGUAGGGGAUGAGGGCAGCAUUCCCUAUAAAAAGGAUCUUGAGGUCCCUGCUGAGGUGCCAAGGUUGAAUAUUUUGCCAGAGGUGGAAACUGAAUUGAUUUGUGCCCCUCAGGCUAGCUCCAGGAACCUCACUCCUGCCUGAGAGCAUUAGUCCACAUGUGGAGAGAGGCUUUUCAGCUGGAGACGAGUUUAUGGCUUUUGACUUUUUCAUGUUCAUGUGUUUUUAUAAAGCCACAAUCGUUUUGUUUUUUUUUUUUAUUGGGCUUUUAUAGAAAGGUCUCUGAAGUCUAGCAAAAUCUCAGCUUAACAGUAGAGAUUGUGCUAGAGAGACAUAUAAGAAGUAAGAGAAAAUAAGAAGGCCAUGGGAGAGAUGGGUAAAUACAGAAGUGCAAGCAGAGUUCUGUCAAAGCAAGUUUCUGACUUACACAUUUAACUUUAUCCGUCAGCCUAGGGGCAAGUCUACAGCAUGAUUAACCUCCUAGAUCUCACUUGUUCCAGGUCCAAGCAUUAUCUGGCCAGAGUGCAUUGCCAAUCCACCAUGCCAGCCAUCCCACCAGAGGCAUCUUGAUGUCAGCAUUGAUGUGACCCAGAAAUGAGGGGAGAGUGAUGGGAAUUCACUGUGCUGGGGAAUUCAGUGCUGCAGAUAGUGAAACACCUUCCAAACCAGAAGAGGUUGCUCUGUGUUCCAAUAUUACUGAUGGUAAAGGAAAUGUUGUGUGAAAUGUUCUGGUCAGCCAAGGAAGUGGACCAUGCAGCAUGGGAUGGCAGCCCCUUCGUGAUCCCCGAGGCUUUGGUGCUGGGAUCAGCACAAGGAAGGACGCCAGAGGAAAAAGUCAGGUUCAGGUUGGAAACGUAUUGCUCAGAGGAAGCAGAUGGAAGAAGAGGUGUCUCUGACUUUGAAUCAGCUUCUGUAUGAUCAUGGCUUAAUGAUCAUAAAUCCUCUGGGGCCUGCAACCUAACAAGGGAAUAAAGGAGGAAGCGCCGUCUCUCUCAGAUCAAAGUAAAGAGAAAAGCUGAGAUGUAAAGGAGACAAAAUGAGCUGCAGGGUAUGUUUGGCAACUGACAAAUGGAGGCCAUGGAGUUCUUCACAAAAGAUCAUACUUUCUACAGCCAUUUGCAAUGACACCUGCACUGUGCCAUUUCACUGUCCUUGGGCUUGGCAUAUAUUGCAGUGUAGUCUCCUUCUGCACAGGCUGUGGUGGUGAUUAGCUCGCUGGCUGUUUCUCUUGACUGUUCUGCUUCAAAUAGAAGAGAGAGUUGCAUGAGGAAUCUGAAGACAGACCAAGCCAUGGAAGAUAGAGGUUCCCAAAGGACACGUGAACUGAGACUGCGUUGAUUCAUAAAUCUUCAGGGGAUUUGCCACCCCUGAACUCAAACCUCUACUAUUCUGUUGAUCCAUACUACAGUAUGGAAGUUCAACUGGCUAGUUGUCUUAUGGGUCUUUGUACUUCCAUCUAUUGCUCCCUCACCAUCACCACUGAAACACACUUCACGGCAACUACCAAAUAAAGAUGACAAAUGUUACCACAUGACACCACAUAUUCAAAAAGUUUUUUCCAGCUUGCUUUUGAUAACAAUACAAAGAUGGUUUUGCAGAGCUCAAAGACUUCUCCCCCAGCCAAUCAAAUAAGAAAGCAUAUCAACAAUCUAGCCCACUUCUUCAAUGGAAUGCUGAGGAAAUUACCUAUUAGCUUCAGCUGCUCCAGCCCUGCCUCUGGAGAGUCCAGCCAUUCCUUGAUACAGCUGUGGCUUCAGUGCUGCUCAGCAUUAACUCCUUGCCUCCCACCUUCAAGUACAGACCUGCUCAUCCCAAAGUUUGGGUUGUUCUCAGUUUGUACAUAAGGCAGGCCAUAAGGCAGAAACUAAGAACAGUGAGGACUGUUCUCAAGAACUGUUCUUUAUUGGAAGAGAGAAUAUGCAUACAACCCCAAUGGGGAGGAACUCAAGGAGUUUCUAGCCUUCUCUUUUUUAAUGGCCCUAGAGGUGUUCUGUGGUAUGCCAAUAAACUCUUCCUUAAACAUCCUGCUUCUUCCACCUUUGCUCAGAAUUGAAACUAGCUGGAACAAAAUUCAAAAUAAACUUCUCACUGACCAAAUAAUGGACAAAUGUCUCAGGCAUCCUGAGAAGAGAGAGACAAUAUGGAUGGAAUGGAAAAGUGAUUUACAGGAACUGGCUAACACCGAACAGAUGAAGCUGUUUCAUAGACCAAGUGGGGGCAGGAGAUUUUCCUGCCAUGAAACAGCAUGGGAACUUUUCCAUAGGCUUUAACACAAUAGAAACUUCAUCUAACUACUACACAGACUUCUUUUUAAGUAUUUUUUCUCCAAAUUUCCAUGAUCUAGAUGCAUAAAUUGGCUUCUCCUCUGUUUGAUCUGAGAUAGUCAGCUCUUUCCUGCAGUACGAUUGUCUUGACUUACUGUCUCCAGUUUGAGAGGCUACAGUAGUGCUGAACACAGCUCUCUGCAUUUUAGUGGAUACCAAUCAUGUGGUUGUGACAUGUUUGGGUUUUUUUUUUUACUCUAGGGUUCAGAGGAUCUCAAGGGAUUUACCACCUGAGAUUUCCCCCCCCCCCCCCCCCCCCCCCCCCCUUACCCCUGAUUAUUUUGGAUCGAAAGGCGCAACAAAAUGCAGCAUAAAUAUAAAGCACAUUUUUGGCUAACGUCUGAAAUGCCUUCAGAUAUCAUCUAAAGUUACACACACAUGUCCCCAGUGAAGCCUGAAACAAAGCUCUCGGAGAAGACAGGAUUAAUUUGAGGUCAGAAGGGCUUUGCUUUCUGUCAUAACAUUGCCAUGAUGUAGUACCAAACUCAUUACUUACCGUGACAUGAAGCUAAGAGGCUAAGGAAUGGUUUAGUAUAUGUUAGUUCAUUUUCCCCUUCCACUACAAUAUCUUCUCUUGAGGAUGGCAGCAAACAAUCUAAACAAGGACUUGUGUGUAUGGAACAACUUAGUCCCCAUGCAAACAAUAUGGGGACAACAGGGAUUUCUGUGAGAUGUUAUUUUUUUUGUUGUAACCAAAUUGCCCACAGAUUUUGCUACUCUGCAGCCUGCUCAGAGGGGACUGGGUUCUCUAAUAAAGCCAUGUUGAUUAGACAGUUUCACAGAAGGGAAAUUAGUUCACAAUAUGUCAUCUGACCUUUUCUGUCUUUUUCCUCUACUCUGAUCAGUUGUGAAAUAAUCCCUUUUUUUUUU
ensembl:lncRNA